AAGAGGCUUUUGGUUACAAGAAGAGAAGCUAGCCUCUGUUUUUGGUUCCCUCCUGCAUUUGGAGAAGCAGAACUUUGUACAUUCCUUGUAAAUAAACAAGA